AAGCCGCAAAGAACUGGGUAACAGUUUAGGAACCCGGAGGUCAAAAAGCAGCGCAUUUGCCCUUCCUUGACUUCGGGCUACCGAGACUAGUAACUCCAAGCAAGACAAAAUAAGUCUCUGGGAUCAUGUCAGCAGGGAAGAAUGUGGCUGUGUGUCUGGAACGAAGCUCU